rnacentral:tRNA from 1 species
GAGAUGAAGCUCAUGGUCGAGCGUCGGGGAUGAAAUCCCGAAGGUAUCGGUUCGAAUCCGGUCUCUCA